UACGGAGGGUGCAAGCGUUGUCCGGAUUUAUUGGGUUUAAAGGGUGCGUAGGCGGUCUUUUAAGUCAGUGGUGAAAUUCUCCAGCUUAACUGGAGAACUGCCAUUGAUACUGGGAGACUUGAGUACAGACGAGGUAGGCGGAAUUGACAGUGUAGCGGUGAAAUGACAUAGAUAUUGUCAAGAACACCGAUUGCGAAGGCAGCUUACUAGACUGUAACUGACGCUGAGGCACGAAAGUGUGGGGAUCAAACAGG
rnacentral:rRNA from 1 species